rnacentral:lncRNA from 1 species
AAAGAACAUGUGAUAGGCAGAGGAGAUAGAAUCAGUGACCUUUUAAUCACUGGAUGUGGGGGAUGAAGUCGUGGGAAUACUCCCAGAUUUCUGGCUUGGGUGGUGAUGUCACCAAACAGGAUACAGAAAAAAGAGCAAGUUUAAUGAUGGGUUGGCAACUUUAAAGUGAGCUCCACUGAGCUGAGUGGGACACACCUGGAGCCAUAUCUCAGGGAGGGAGAGGAGAGGGCCAAGGAUAGCAUUCUGAGCAAUAUCGAGUACCCAAGGGGCGGGUGGCACAGAGAGACAGAGCUCGGCGAAGAACCAGGAGUGAGUGGUGACAUCCUGGCUGUCCAUUUCUCCACACUGUCAAGGGAAAAAACAAACAACAGCUUCACAUGUGGUAGAGAGCUCCAGCAAAGAGAGGUCUGCAAGUCGCCCAUUGGCUAUAGGAAGAGAAUGCGCUCGGGACUUGAGUGAAAGCUAUUUCAGUCAAGUUACAAAAACAAAAGUCCGGUCACCAUGGGUUAUGGGGUCGAUGAGAAGUAAGGGGCAGAGGUGUUUGGUUGAGGAGCUGCUAGGAUGCAAAAAUGGGGUUAAAGGUGGGAUUUGGGUUGGUUUCUUUUUUUAAAAUCAGUUGAAAUCUCACCACCUAGAGAAAGCCAACACCAACAUUUGGUGACUAUUUCUUGAUACAUUCUUCUGUGCACGUGCACACACAUGUGCAUACACACAUGCACACGGCAUAGCUCAGAGAUGUCAGACCACUGCCAUAAAGCAGGUAUCACAACAAAUGAGUCCCGUGCAUUUUUUUGUUUCCCAGUGCAUAUAAAAGUUAUGUUUACACUAUGUUGUCGUCUACUGAGUAUGCGCUGACAUUACGUCUAAGAAAACAAUGUACAUACCUUAAUUUAAAAAGGAUACUGUUGGGAAAAUGGUCCCAACAGACUUGCUCAAUGCAAGGUUGCCACGAACCUUCAACUGGUUAAAAAAACAAAACAAAACAAAAAAACAAACAAACAAACAAAAAAAACACUAUCUUCAUAUCUUUACACUUUAACCACUCUUUAUCAGAAUCACAAGCAUAGACAUAAAAAAAGUACAGUCUCUCUUCAAAAUCAAAACCCCAAAUCUCUGGGUAACGCACACUACCCUUUGACAAAACAAAUCUGGUUCUGACUUCUGAGAAGCUUAACGUAGAUCAGUCAGCCUAGGAAACAGACACACCCAAUCCACUGAUUUUAGAAGGUAGAGAGAAACUACCCACUUGGAAUGUUUCCAGGGGAUUAAACACGAUGAUCUUAUGAGUGGAGCCCUAGAAGCUGAGGUCAAACCACCUCCUAGCAAGGGAGUACUGACAAUAUACACCCCAAGAGUGGCACCCAGUGAGUCAUGAGGGGGCAAGUUCCACCCUGUGAAGCUUCCACACCUGCCUCUGUCUCACCACCACGGGAAGGAACAACACACAAAGCUCUUCAGUGUGAUGCUGCAAUGUCAACAGAGCUGGGAAUACUGGUUAAACUGGCCUAGGCAGCGGAAUGGCCACUGGGUUUUGGCUUGGGUUUGUGCUAGGAGGAAAUGGGGCAAGAGGUUGGAAUUGUAACACAGCAAAGGUAUACCCCAAAGACUUGCAGAGAAGAGAGCAGACUUGAGUUGUUACUGUAGAAAACUGGAUAUUGUGUAGUUUUUUGUUUUGUUUUGUUACUUAGUGGGGGGACCCAGACACAGAAGCCCCCAAGAAGUGGCUUCAUUUGGUUACAGCUCGCUCUCUCUCCACCUCACCCCUUACUCUCCCUGUUCUGACUUCCCUUUUCUAUAAGUUAUCCUUGAGGUUAUCAACAGGAACAUGUGUGAUAAAGCUUUUCUGUAUGAAUCACUCUCCCUAAUUUAGUAUACAAUAGAAAGAUUUAAAGGUAUUAACGCUCUCUAUAUAUAGCAGAUAUAUAGCUAAAUUUUAACUUUUAACUAGUGAAUAAAAAACUAAACCAUUUAACAGCUUAGCUUAAGGGGACAGCACACAAUUGCUGUAGCGACAUGGAAGAUAAUCCUGAUUUCUUGUUUGUAACAUCAAAACUGAACUCCUUCUGAUCAUGUUUUAAUAAAAAGAAGUAUCAUCCACUUAGGUUAAAAACUAGGUUCCAUUUGAGGGGGAGAGGGGAUUUCUUUCUACCACCACGGAACAGAUACAGGCAGGUAUAAAGUCAAUGGAAUCCUGGGGUGCAGAGGACAAGACUGUGUGGAACUCAAGUCCAAAGCAACACGUUCUUUCCAGGGGUGAAUCAAGGGGACAACAACAGGUGCUUCCUGCUGGACACACUGCUUCUUGGUCUCCUUGACUGAGUUCUCCAGG